rnacentral:misc_RNA from 1 species
GAUGAAGAACGUAGCGAAAUGCGAUAAGUAAUGUGAAUUGCAGAAUUCAGUGAAUCAUCGAAUCUUCGAACGCACAUUGCGCCCGCUGGUAUUCCGGCGGGCAUGCCUGUUCGAGCGUCAUUUCAACCCUCAAGCCCCCGGGUUUGGUGUUGGGGAUCGGCUCUGCCCUUCUGGGCGGUGCCGCCCCCGAAAUACAUUGGCGGUCUCGCUGCAGCCUCCAUUGCGUAGUAGCUAACACCUCGCAACUGGAACGCGGCGCGGCCAUGCCGUAAAACCCCAACUUCUGAAUGUUGACCUCGGAUCAGGUAGGAAUACCCGCUGAACUUAAGCAUAUCAAUAAGCGGAGGA